GCACCCGUAGCCCAACGGAUAGAGCGCAGGCCUCCGGAGCUUGAAAUGGCGGUUCGAUUCCGCCCGGGUGUA
rnacentral:tRNA from 1 species